AAAGCAGAUUGGGCAAUCGCGGUGUCUUUUCGGACAUCGAGGAAGGUCCGGACUCCAUAGGGCAGGAUAACGGUUAACGACCGUCCGUACGGGAUGACGCGCAAGCGAAAUUUCGGACGAGGACUAGGGCCACAGAGACGAGUCUGCGAUGGGGGUGCGUUUGACGCACUCCGUCACGGCCUGGCCGUGAUGCCGCAUCCACGAAAGUGGUGCAACAUCGCAGGGUGAAACGCGGCAACCUCUAUCCGGAGCAACACCAAAUAGGCAUACGUGCGGUCUGUGACCGCGAAGGGCGGCUCGUUCGAGUAUGCGGGUAGGUGGCUAGAACAUUUCAGCAAUGAAAUGUCCAGAGGAAUGAUUGCCCGUCAGAGCAAUCUGAUGUACAGAAUCCGGCCUAUAAAUCUGCUUUGCAC
rnacentral:RNase_P_RNA from 1 species